UAAAGAAUUUCGGUUAUCGAUGGGGAUGCGUUCCAUUAGUUAGUUGGCGGGGUAACGGCCCACCAAGACGACGAUGGAUAGGGGUUCUGAGAGGAAGGUCCCCCACAUUGGAACUGAGACACGGUCCAAACUCCUACGGGAGGCAGCAGUGAGGAAUAUUGGUCAAUGGACGAGAGUCUGAACCAGCCAAGUAGCGUGAAGGAUGACUGCCCUAUGGGUUGUAAACUUCUUUUAUAUGGGAAUAAAACAGGGUAUGCAUACCCUCUUGUAUGUACCAUAUGAAUAAGGAUCGGCUAACUCCGUGCCAGCAGCCGCGGUAAUACGGAGGAUCCGAGCGUUAUCCGGAUUUAUUGGGUUUAAAGGGAGCGUAGGUGGAUUGUUAAGUCAGUUGUGAAAGUUUGCGGCUCAACCGUAAAAUUGCAGUUGAAACUGGCAGUCUUGAGUACAGUAGAGGUGGGCGGAAUUCGUGGUGUAGCGGUGAAAUGCUUAGAUAUCACGAAGAACUCCGAUUGCGAAGGCAGCUCACUGGACUGCAACUGACACUGAUGCUCGAAAGUGUGGGUAUCAAACAGGAUUAGAUACCCUGGUAGUCCACACAGUAAACGAUGAAUACUCGCUGUUUGCGAUAUA
rnacentral:rRNA from 1 species